GCAAGUCGAACGAACCCUUCGGGGUGAGUGGCGCACGGGUGCGUAACACGUGGGAAUAUACACAUAGGUAAGGAAUAACACAGAGAAAUUUGUGCUAAUACCUUAUAAUAACUCCGGUUUAAAGAUUUAUCGCCUAUGGAUUAGCCCGCGCUAGAUUAGUUUGUUGGUGAGGUAAAAGCUCACCAAGACUAUGAUCAAUAGCUGAUUUGAGAGGAUGAUC
rnacentral:rRNA from 1 species